UUUGUGUUUGAGGGGGAGGAGGAAGAGGAAGAGGAAGAGGUGGCUAAGGCAAUCAAAACUCCAACAAUGAAGAAAGGGAGCAUUCCUCAAGAGGACGUGAUAGAGGAAACUACACAAGGCAAAAUGAUAAGUCCAAAGUUUGGUGUUACAAUUGCCAAAAGAAUGGGCAUUAUGCUCGGAAGUGUUGGAGUUCUCCUAGCAAUAUUGAAGAGAAGACUAAUUAUGUAGAGAAUGGACGAGCCAACUCCAGCAGAUAGCAAGUCGACCCAAGAACAGUCUCAAAGAAUAGAUAGAAAGUCAAAGAAUUUAUCGCAUUGGCGAGUUAACCCAUAAAAUACAUGCUCGACUCUAGUCUAAAGAGUGAUGUUGGAAGUAAAUUGAAUCUUCCUAAAAUUUGAUUCACUGGAAAGCACAUAAAGGAAGGAGUCGACCCCUAAUUGGACAUACAAAAAAGACAGAGCUAGAAAAAUCAUCGCUUUGGCUUGUCGACCCAUAGGAAUCAUGAGUUGACUCCAGUCAAACAAGAUUAGACCCUAGAAACAUACAAGUCGACCUCUGAAACACCAUAGUAAAAAAAUAAAAAACAGUAGAACUUAAUCUGUUGAAUAGUCCACCCAAGAAAGCAAUGAGUUGACCCAAGAUAUCUGACGAGUCAACCCCUGAACUGAAAGAGCCGACUCCACAAUGUCUAUAGUAAAAAGACAGAGCGCAACAAAAGCUACAACAACUACGAGAUGACUCCUGAAGAUCACCAGUCGACUUCUAAAAAUCUUAAGUCGACCCUAGGAAAUGGUGAGUCAACCCCUCUGCGUCUGACAAUAGUAAUAUCUAGUUUUUCUAUGAGUCACAAUAGUUGUUUUUCAUUUCACAAUGGCUCUUUACCUGUCUAAUGAUUGGAAGAGUGUUCCAACCAUCUCCAAAAGUAUAAAUGCAUAGGAACAGCAAAGAAAA